rnacentral:rRNA from 1 species
GUGAAAUGCGUAGAUAUCCGGAGGAACACCAAAGGCGAAGGCACUGUCCUGGCUAUUUCCUGACGCUGAGGGGCGAAAGCGAGGGGAGCGAACGGGAUUAGAUACCCCGGUAGUCCUCGCCGUAAACGAUGACCACUAGAGGUUCGGGGUAUCGACCCCCUGAGUCUCGUAGCCAACGCGAUAAGUGGUCCGCCUGGGGAGUACGGUCGCAAGAUUAAAACUCAAAGGAAUUGACGGGGACCCGCACAAGCAGCGGAGCGUGUGGUUUAAUUCGAUGCAACGCGAAGAACCUUACCAGGAUUUGACAUGGCUCUGAGCAUCGUGGAGACACGAUUUCCUUCGGGACAGAGUCACAGGUGCUGCAUGGCUGUCGUCAGCUCGUGCCGUGAGGUGUUGGGUUAAGCCCCGCAACGAGCGCAACCCUCGUGGGUAGUUGGAUAUGUCUACCCAGACUGCCACGAUCAACGUGGAGGAAGGUGGGGAUGACGUCAAGUCAGCACGGCCCUUACAUCCUGGGCGACACACACGCUACAAUGGCACGGACAAAGAGUUGCGAACCCGCGAGGGGGAGCCAAUCUCGGCAAACCGUGUCUCAGUUCAGAUUGGAGGCUGCAACCCGCCUCCAUGAAGUCGGAGUUGCUAGUAACCGUGAGUCAGCACAUCACGGUGAAUACGUUCCCGGGUCUUGUACACACCGCCCGUCACACCACGAAAGUCGGCAACCCCUGAAGCCGCUGGGCUAACUCGCAAGAGAGGCAAGCGUCGAGGGUGGGGUCGGUGAUUGGGGUGAAGUCGUAACAAGGUAACCGU